UCACCCCCAGCAUGGAGCCCAGUACAGGGCUUGAACUCAUAACCCUGAGAUUAAGACCUGAGCUGAGAUCAAGAUUCAGACACUUAACUGACUGAGCCUCUCAGUGUUGUGACGGGGACACAGCUGGUCCUGAGAAGGCAUCAUAUUCAGACAAGCAUGUCAGAUUGCAUUCAUUACUGUGGUGGAAGCCCUGAAUUUUAGCUGGCACAUGUCUGCCUCAUUUCACAGCCUCCAUUGCAGGAAAUUUAACAAGCAUGAAGAGUGCCCCCUCCUCUGACAGUGUUUCAAUAUACCUCAGGACUUGUCAUUCUCCUCUUCUAAAAUGUAAAAAAGAAAAUGGUGGGGGAAGGAGAAAAGAAAAGGUAAAGUAAAAGGUAUACUCAUGGUAUUUAGACCUAGUGGACAGUAUUUAAAAGCCCACACAUGAAGCAACUUGUUGUUGGUUUAAAGAAUAAGUAAGUAAAUGACUAGCAGAUUGGGACCUUUUAUGGCAGAACAAUGCAGGGAUGAACUGAGGGCAUUAGUCUCUGAAAGAAAGCUGGACCCAUUACUAGUAAUUAUAGUUAAUCAGCAGCAAUUGUCUUGACUAAGAUACAGAUCAAGAUUGAGCACUAACCCAACAGGACUAAUGGGGGUAAUGGAGGAUGAAGAAAUCCUGAUUGAACUCAGCAAGGCAUUGAACAACCAGAGCAGAUGAUGCAUUUUCAAUCUGUUACUUUAGUCCAGAAAGCACUAGCUUUCUUCAAAUCAG